GUUAGACAGUAAAACGAAAGUAUAUAAACUCUUUCCAGGUACCAGCGACAAAACGAAGACGCUUGACAACGUCUGCUUGUAGGAUUGUGACUUUCGCCUUCCUAACUGUUCUAGCCGCCCACAUACCUGGACUGAGAGACCAUUUGAUUCGUAAUGGCUCUUGUGGUGUCAUUCAAAUCAGCAGUCUACGUGGCAAUGAUCCUAGAGGCCUUGUUUAUUGGAUUCAGCAGACCAGACUUUACGUGGGAGAACUGUAAUCAAACGUGCAAUCCUUCUCAAAAUAGAACGUGUUCUAGGGAAUACUGCUUCUGCGUACUUUUGAACUACAAUACCGAAGGGGAAUGUUACACCUAUUCAUGGCCAGGUAUGGAAUACGGGCCGCCGCCUUCAUACUAAGAGAUAGAGGCGGCCGCACGAAGAUUGCCGAAUGCUGAUAAAUAAAGCACUUUUAUCAUUCACGA